UACGUAGGGCGCAAGCGUUGUCCGGAAUUAUUGGGCGUAAAGAGCUCGUAGGCGGUCUGUCGCGUCUGCCGUGAAAACCCGAGGCUUAACCUCGGGCCUGCGGUGGAUACGGGCAGACUAGAGGUAGGUAGGGGAGAAUGGAAUUCCCGGUGUAGCGGUGAAAUGCGCAGAUAUCGGGAGGAACACCAGCGGCGAAGGCGGCACUCUGGGCUGGAACUGACGCUGAGGAGCGAAAGCGUGGGUAGCAAACAGG
rnacentral:rRNA from 1 species